CAAACAUUUGCUGCUGGAUCGGUGUAAAAAGUAUGUGCUUGAUUCCUAACCACGAUGGAUUGAAGAGACAAAAGAAAAGAGCAGUGAGUCACGUUUUAUGUACUUUUUCAAUACCUUUUAAAUGCAACCAGUUCUACUUUCACCUUCAUAGUUCAACUAAUAUGGAACUCCAGAACAGAUUUGUUCUCAUGCAGGUGCUGGCAGGACACUUUAUAUUCACUGCAGCAACUGAGAGCACUGCCUGUUCUCACUGUAUCUCCCAGGCCACAAUCGCGGGUGUCAGAUGUGUUUUUGCUAACAAGACUGUGGAACUGGUGAGCAGAGAGCUUUCCCACCCUUCCCUUCUCCCAAGCAUCCGUCAAGCCGCAGUUUCAGAGCAGCCACACCCUUCUUGUUAUUGUUGAAGUCAAAUAUUAAAGGUCUGGCACUGGACUCAUUGACGUUCAGUGUUAGAGCUCCCGAAGCAGUAACAUUCUCAACACUCCUGGAUUUUCUCUAGUCACUUCAGCUCUUCCUGCAAUUUAUCACUGACUCCAUUGGCUGUGAUCUAUAGUUUCUGCCAUUGACAUCAUUGUACCUGAUGAGGCACAUAUGAAGAAUUCUGAACUAAUGGGAUGCCUAUUGGUGUAAAUAUGCUCCUCCUUACCUUCUGUCAGCAUCCUUUCUUUUUGGUAAAGUCAGUCUUUGGUCCUCAAUACCACAUCUGUCUUAAUGCUGGCCCAGAACACUGGAUGGCAAACACAUCUACAAUCACAAAAAUGCAUUAUUAGCACAAGUACAUUUGUCAAUACACUGAAAAUCAAGAAUAGAGAUCAUACUUGUAGCAGCCAGCUAAUGGCUGAUAUUUGGUACAUUUCUCAUGUAUCUAUUGUAGGGGCAUGAAAUUGGUUCUUCAUGGCUAAAAUGAAGAUUUUCCUCUAGGUCAGUCCCUGGGAAUUAUGCUUCGUGUCAUGAGAGUGACAUUUAUAUAUAUAAAUAUAUAUAUAUAGUGUAUAUAUAUAUAUAUAUUUUUUUUUUUUUGCAGGACUGACUGUGCUCUUAUAUCUUCGGUUGAGAUGC
rnacentral:lncRNA from 1 species